ensembl:misc_RNA Metazoa_SRP Metazoan signal recognition particle RNA
GCUGGGUGUGAUAGCACACACCUGUAGUCCCAGCUACUUGGGGGGCUGAGGCGAGAGGAUCGCUUGAGCCCAGGAGAUUGAGGCUGCAGUGAGCUGUGUUUGUGCCACUGCACUCUAGCCUGGGUGACAAAGUGAGACCCUGUCUCAA